UUCUUAAAGAAAUAAUUUUAAGUAAAAUCUGCUCAAUGUUUAUAAAUAGCCGCAGAAUUUUUACUGUGCUAAGGUAGCAUAAUCAUUAGCCUCCUAAUUAGAGGCUAGAAUGAAUGAUUUAACAAUUUAAAUAUUUUUUUUAUUUUAAUAUAUUUAAAUUAUUUUAGAAGUAAAAAUACUUCUAUAAACUAAAUAGACGACAAGACCCUAUUAAACUUAACUUUAGUUUAGCUGGGGCAGCUAAAUAAUAAUUAUUUUAUUUAAAGUUUCUAUAAAUUUAUUACAUAAAUAUUAUAAAAACAAGUUACUAUAGGGAUAACAGCGUUAUUCCUCUUUUAAGCUCCUAUUUUAAGAAGAGAUUACGACCUCGAUGUUGAAUAAUUUAACUUAUAUAAAGCAUCAAUUUAAAAAGUAAGUCUGUUCGACUUUUAAAAAAUUACA
rnacentral:rRNA from 1 species